CAAGAACACACAAACUCUGGCUAUAUAUGGAGGAUAAAUACCUUUCUAAGUAACAAAAAGAGUCGAUGUCUUCCUUCGAAUUGAUCGACGGUGUUUAUAAGUCUUUAGUCCAAACACCAACACCGAGAUGAAAAUAAUUCCGAUAUACUCUUCUCUUUCGGGUAUCCUUGGUUGUUAUAAUUCUUGUUCUGUCAAAAGUCAAUUGCCGAGAUGCAGGCUUCAGUACGACUUCAGCAGUCUACACGGACGCACGCGAACUGAUUGUCUCUCUCGGAAGUUUUCGUCUCACCUCUCCUUCCGAAGUUUCGUGUCUGAAUUUUUUAGACGCGUCUCCGUUUCGGGGCAGCUCUUGACCCCUUUCGUAAAUAAUUUGCUCGUUUUUCCAGGGUGACACAUUUUUAGUCUCGACUUUCCACCCUGGUUAUAAUUAUUUCCUCUGUUUUUUUAUAACCGAAUACCUUAACCUGUAUAAACCUGUGUCCUGCACGAGUAUAAAUUGGAUGUCAAUCGACAUCUAAUUUAUACUCGUGCAGGACAAGGUUUCUUGCGUCGAUGUUAAUAUAAAUUAUC
rnacentral:lncRNA from 1 species